GAGAAGUCAGGCCAGAUUAAGCCAUAGUACGGAAAGAGCUAUGCUGCCUGUGAGMCMCGUCCAAGGACGUAAAAUGARGUCAGGCCGAAAGCCACGGAUUGGGCAAGCCGUGCUGCCUGUGGCUCCAU
rnacentral:lncRNA from 1 species